rnacentral:rRNA from 1 species
UGGGGAAUAUUGCACAAUGGGGGAAACCCUGAUGCAGCAACGCCGCGUGCGGGAUGACGGCCUUCGGGUUGUAAACCGCUUUCAGCCAUGACGAAGCUUUUGUGACGGUAGUGGCAGAAGAAGCACCGGCUAACUACGUGCCAGCAGCCGCGGUGAUGCGUAGGGUGCGAGCGUUGUCCGGAAUUAUUGGGCGUAAAGAGCUUGUAGGCGGUUUGUCGCGUCGAAAGUGUAAACUCAGUGCUUAACGCUGAGCCUGCUUUCGAUACGGGCUGACUAGAGGAAGGUAGGGGAGAAUGGAAUUCCCGGUGGAGCGGUGGAAUGCGCAGAUAUCGGGAGGAACACCAGUGGCGAAGGCGGUUCUCUGGACCUUUCCUGACGCUGAGAAGCGAAAGCGUGGGUAGCAAACAGG